rnacentral:lncRNA from 1 species
GCGGCGGCGGGUCGGUGUAGAAAAUGGCGGCUGUGCAGCGGGCUGGGCCUCUCCCCUCAGCGCCGCGGACGGACUGAGGCCUCUCUGCGCCUUCUCCCCCUCCCCCCGCCUCCUCCCCGUGCACUUUACACACAUGAGAGAAUUGGAAGCUAAAGCUACCAAAGAAGUCGAAAGGAAACUAAGCAGGGAUUUAGUGAAAGAAGAGGAAGAACAGUUGAUGGAAGAAAGGAAAAAGAGAAAGGACGACAAGAAAAAGAAGGAAGCUGCUCAAAAGAAGGUAAUGUGUAUUUAAAUAUAAACAUAUAAUUUAAGAAAUGAAAAUUGCUUCACCUAAAGUCUUUUCCAAAAGCUUUUGUUGCAUUGUAUCUGCA